rnacentral:rRNA from 1 species
GACGAACGCUGGCGGCGUGCUUAACACAUGCAAGUCGAACGAAGAGCGAUGGAAGCUUGCUUCUAUCAAUCUUAGUGGCGAGCGGGUGAGUAACGCGUAAUCAACCUGCCCUUCAGAGGGGGACAACAGUUGGAAACGACUACUAAUACCGCAUACGAUCUAAUCACGGCAUCGAGGAUAGAUGAAAGGUGGCCUCUACAUGUAAGCUAUCACUGAAGGAGGGGAUUGCGUCUGAUUAGCUAGGUGGGGGGGUAACGGCCCACCAAGGCGAUGAUCAGUAGCCGGUCUGAGAUGAUGAGCGGCCACAUUGGGACUGAGACACGGCCCAGACUCAUACGGGAGGCAGCAGUGGGGAAUCUUCCGCAAUGGACGAAAGUCUGACGGAGCAACGCCGCGGGAGCGAGGACGGCCUUCGGGUUGUAAAGCUCUGUUAAUCGGGACGAAAGGCCUUCUUGCGAAUAGUGAGAAGGAUUGACGGUACCGGAAGAGAAAGCCACGGCUAACUACGUG